AGUUCAUAUUAAGAAAUUAUUAGCAUGUCGUGUUUCCAACUUUCAUUUUAUUGGAGAUAUUAUUUUUUACGCUCAUUGUCCCCGAACUAUCCAUUUAUGCCCUCAUCAACUCUCAUCAUACAAAUCCAUGGACAGCUAAUCUCUCCAGUGUGGAAUGUAUGCUAUGGACAGGACUACCUUCAGGUAAAAUCUAUUGUAUUUUGGUUUAAUCAUAGUCUAUCUCCUUUUAUUAGUAGAUAGUUAUAGUCGUCUUGAAUAGUAUGCUUUACAGUUGCGCUUCGUGCGAUCUUCUGUAACAGAAAACGAGGU